AUAUACAAUUAUUGACUUUUUUGUAUUAUUAAUUUCAGGAGAAUGUUUAAACUCGUCGAAUAAUCACACAAAAUCAGAAGCAAACAUUUUGGCGACUUUUUAAACAGGAGAGUUUUCAAACUCGUCGAAUAAUCACACAAAAUCAGAAGCAAAAACGUUGGCGACUUUUCAACAGGAGAAUGUUUCAACUCGUCGAAUAAUAACACAAAAUCAGAAGCAAACAUUUGGGCGACUUUUUAAACAGGAGAAUGUUCAAACUCGUCGAAUAAUCUCACCAAAUCGGAAGAAACAGUUUGGCGACUUUUUAAACAGGAGAAUGUCCAAACUCGCCGAAUAAUCUCACAAAAUCGGAAAAAAACAUUUGGCGACUUUUUAAACAGGAGUAUUUUCAAACUCGUCGAAUAAUCACACAAAAUCAGAAGCAAAAAUUUUGGCGACUUUUUAAACAGGAGAAUUAUCAAACUCGUCGAAUAAUCACACAAAAUCAGAAGCAAAAAUUUUGACGAAUUUUUAAACAGGAGAAUUAUCAAACUCGUCGAAUAAUCACACAAAAUCAGAAGCAAAAAUUUUGACGAAUUUUUA